UUCCUACGGGAGGCAGCAGUGGGGAAUAUUGCACAAUGGGCGGAAGCCUGAUGCAGCAACGCCGCGUGCGGGAUGACGGCCUUCGGGUUGUAAACCGCUUUCGCCUGUGACGAAGCGUGAGUGACGGUAAUGGGUAAAGAAGCACCGGCUAACUACGUGCCAGCAGCCGCGGUGAUACGUAGGGUGCGAGCGUUGUCCGGAUUUAUUGGGCGUAAAGGGCUCGUAGGUGGUUGAUCGCGUCGGAAGUGUAAUCUUGGGGCUUAACCCUGAGCGUGCUUUCGAUACGGGUUGACUUGAGGAAGGUAGGGGAGAAUGGAAUUCCUGGUGGAGCGGUGGAAUGCGCAGAUAUCAGGAGGAACACCAGUGGCGAAGGCGGUUCUCUGGGCCUUUCCUGACGCUGAGGAGCGAAAGCGUGGGGAGCGAACAGGCUUAGAUACCCUGGUAGUCCACGCUGUAAACGGUGGGUACUAGGUGUGGGGUCCAUUCCACGGGUUCCGCGCCGUAGCUAACGCUUUAAGUACCCCGCCUGGGGAGUACGGCCGCAAGGCUAAAACUCAAAUGAAUUGACGGAA
rnacentral:rRNA from 1 species